AGGAUCGGCUAACUCCGUGCCAGCCGCCGCGGUAAUACGGAGGAUCCAAGCGUUAUCCGGAAUCAUUGGGUUUAAAGGGUCCGUAGGUGGACGGUUAAGUCAGGGGUGAAAGUCUGCAGCUCAACUGUAGAAUUGCCCUUGAUACUGGUCGUCUUGAAUUAUUGUGAAGUGGUUAGAAUAUGUAGUGUAGCGGUGAAAUGCAUAGAUAUUACAUAGAAUACCAAUUGCGAAGGCAGAUCACUAACAAUACAUUGACACUGAUGGACGAAAGCGUGGGUAGCGAACAGG
rnacentral:rRNA from 1 species